rnacentral:pre_miRNA from 1 species
UUAACUCAAAUUUGUAUGCAGUUGGAACAGCGUCCCUGGCAGCAAACGUUCCAACUCCAUACAAAUUUUAGUUA